AGUGAACGCUGGCGGUAGGCCUAACACAUGCAAGUCGAACGGCAGCACAGUAAGAGCUUGCUCUUACGGGUGGCGAGUGGCGGACGGGUGAGGAAUACAUCGGAAUCUACUUUUUCGUGGGGGAUAACGUAGGGAAACUUACGCUAAUACCGCAUACGACCUACGGGUGAAAGCAGGGGAUCUUCGGACCUUGCGCGAUUGAAUUAGCCGAUGUCGGAUUAGCUAGUUGGCGGGGUAAAGGCCCACCAAGGCGACGAUCCGUAGCUGGUCUGAGAGGAUGAUCGGCCACACUGGAACUGAGACACGGUCCAGACUCCUACGGGAGGCAGCAGUGGGGAAUAUUGGGCAAUGGGCGCAAGCCUGAUCCAGCCAUACCGCGUGGGUGAAGAAGGCCUUCGGGUUGUAAAGCCCUUUUGUUGGGAAAGAAAAGCAGCAGGUUAAUACCCCGCUGUUCUGACGGUACCCAAAGAAUAAGCACCGGCUAACUUCGCG
rnacentral:rRNA from 1 species